ACAGUACAAACUGAGCAGGCCGGGGAUUUCCUGGGGCCGGGUCGUAAAUGACAGUGGAUCGAAGACAUCUGCGGGACAGUA
ncrna:unclassified sequences NiCo riboswitch